GCCAGUGUAGAGUAGUGGUUUGAGCAUUGGACUGACUCUGGAGACCAGGGUUCGAUUCCCAGCUUGGCCA